rnacentral:rRNA from 1 species
AAGACGGAAAGACCCCGUGAACCUUUACUAUAGCUUGACACUGAACACUGGUCCUUGAUGUGUAGGAUAGGUGGGAGGCUUUGAAGCGUGGACGCCAGUCUGCGUGGAGCCGACCUUGAAAUACCACCCUUUAAUGGCUGGUGUUCUAACGUAGACCCGUAAUCCGGGUUGCGGACAGUGUCUGGUGGGUAGUUUGACUGGGGCGGUCUCCUCCCAAAGAGUAACGGAGGAGCACGAAGGUUGGCUAAUCCUGGUCGGACAUCAGGAGGUUAGU